rnacentral:pre_miRNA from 8 species
UGCUUCUGGAUGACACUGCUUCCCGAGGCCACAUGCUUCUUUAUAUCCCCAUAUGGAUUACUUUGCUAUGGAAUGUAAGGAAGUGUGUGGUUUCGGCAAGUGACUCCUCGCUGGCCCCAG